GACGAACGCUGGCGGCGUGCUUAACACAUGCAAGUCGAACGGAAAGGCCCUGCUUUUGUGGGGUGCUCGAGUGGCGAACGGGUGAGUAACACGUGAGUAACCUGCCCUUGACUUUGGGAUAACUUCAGGAAACUGGGGCUAAUACCGGAUAGGAGCUCCUGCUGCAUGGUGGGGGUUGGAAAGUUUCGGCGGUUGGGGAUGGACUCGCGGCUUAUCAGCUUGUUGGUGGGGUAGUGGCUUACCAAGGCUUUGACGGGUAGCCGGCCUGAGGGGGUGACCGGCCACAUUGGGACUGAGAAGCGGCCCAGACGCCUACGGGAGGCAGCAGUGGGGAAUAUUGCACAAUGGGCGGAAGCCUGAUGCAGCAACGCCGCGUGCUGGAUGAAGGCCUUCGGGUUGUAAACCGCUUUCGCCUGUGACGAAGCGUGAGUGACGGUAAUGGGUAAAGAAGCACCGGCUAACUACGUG
rnacentral:rRNA from 1 species